rnacentral:rRNA from 1 species
GACGAACGCUGGCGGCGUGCUUAACACAUGCAAGUCGAACGGAAAGGCCCUGCUUUUGUGGGGUGCUCGAGUGGCGAACGGGUGAGUAACACGUGAGUAACCUGCCCUUGACUUUGGGAUAACUUCAGGAAACUGGGUCUAAUACCGGAUAGGAGCUCCUGCUGCAUGGUGGGGGUUGGAAAGUUUCGGCGGUUGGGGAUGGACUCGCGGCUUAUCAGCUUGUUGGUGGGGUAGUGGCUUACCAAGGCUUUGACGGGUAGCCGGCCUGAGAGGGUGACCGGCCACAUUGGGACUGAGAGACGGCCCAGACUCCUACGGGAGGCAGCAGUGGGGAAUAUUGCACAAUGGGCGGAAGCCUGAGGCAGCAACGCCGGGUGCGGGAUGACGGCCUUCGGGUUGUAAACCGCUUUCGCCUGUGACGAAGCGUGAGUGACGGUAAUGGGUAAAGAAGCACCGGCUAACUACGUG